AGGCGCGUAGCUCAGGUGGUUAGAGCGUUACCUUGACAUGGUAAAGGUCGUUGGUUCAAAUCCAAUCGUGCCUA
rnacentral:tRNA from 1 species